CGACGUGUAGCUCAGCAGCGAGAGCGCCGGGCUCCGGACCCGGAGGACGCGGGGGCAGAACCCGCCACGUCGGCCA
rnacentral:tRNA from 1 species